rnacentral:lncRNA from 1 species
AAAUUGUGAUUCUUGCGUUUUUAUAAAAUUACGAGACCAAAGCACUGUCUGAGAAACUACAUAAAAUUGGGCAGAUAGGGAUGAAAGCUUGAAGGGACCGACAUCUUUUGAGCAUCUAAAACAUGUAUUCUUGAUUAUAACGAUAAAAAUGGAUACUUCCUAUUAUCGCUAAAUCCGGACUGAGAUGUAUUCUUGUAGUCCUAUGGUCAGCUGCAGACGAGUUGAGCAGGCUAGCUAAGAUGUGCUGGAGCUGGCUUUCUUCGAAAAUGGCCUACAAGCAAUUCGCUUGUCGGAGAGUUUCUAGUAGGGAUCCUCCGAUAGAAUAGCAACAGUAUAGAAGGGAGAAAACUUCAGCAGAGGAUAAUUCUCUAUAAAUAAUAUUACAUGUGUAUUCUUG